CAGACCUCUGAUCAGG
rnacentral:rRNA from 1 species